rnacentral:lncRNA from 1 species
UGUCUCAGUGUUUGUUUCCCAGGCAACCUGAUGUAAGAAGUGAUGAAAGUCAAACAAACAACCGUAAAUCUGUACAAUGAAACGUAUGACAGGAAAGCAACAGUGCCACUGAGCGCAGUAAGAGCAUUCAACCCAGACCUGAUGGGUUGUGAAGAUGCAAAGAGAAGGGUCAGGGCAUUACCUCCUCAGGAGUAGAUACUCACCUAUGGGCCACACCAGGCAACAAUUUAAUCUUCACCCUCAGUCAUUGCUUCUGACUUGUGGAGUGCAAACAUCUAUUUCACACGGGGUAUUAAGGAUGGCAACGCUGUUUUUAAGGACACGGAUUACUAACUGCCUUUGAAUAUAGUUCAGAAACUCUGAAGAUUCUGGUCUACUAAGAGAUACUGUUCUCAGACACAAAAACUGAUCACCUUUACUCAUUCAUCUGUCUAAUGUAUAAAGUUCUUUUAGUUUUUUACCUCUACUUGGAUUGGUUUUAAAUACCAUGUGAAGUUUAGUGAGAAGCUUCAUGGCCUUAAAGGAGCAUAAUUUCUUCAGAAUGAACAGAUAUUUUUGGCCAGACAUGAGAAGGUGAUAGUUUACUUGAAUUGGACCCACACCAAAUGGUUAUACAAGGCUCAGAUCGUCUAGGAUGAAGAAUCAUGCACAGUAGAGCCCCUUGUCUCUAACGAAGUACAAACGCAGGGAACAGAAGCAAGACAUCAGUUGAAGAGUAGGCCUUGCUCCA